CAUAAUAAAUCGUCAACCUUAUAAUUUCACAUUUUCUAAGAAAGCUAUCCAUAAACAAACAUAUAAAAAGGUUUAAUCAUGAAUUGACGAAAUAUCCACCCAUUCCAAAUCAAGAAUACCGAAAACACCGAAAUCAAGUAUGUAAUGGCCUUUGGAGGCGGCUUUGCGGAGAGCUCCGAAAUCGGCAAUCAGAAAAAAAGCAAAAUUAAUCACUUUUCCAAUGAAAACAGAAUCGGAAGCACAAAGCCGUACUAUGAUGCCAUCGUUAAUGUAAAGGCUAAAACUACUGGGCAGCCGCAGAAAACCUGCGGGUAUUUCAGAGCCACGAACUUUUCAUUAGUUCAAGCUCUCCCCUUUUUGCGUUUUAGCCCAAUGUUGAAUACGGAAAAUACAAAAAAAAAUCAUACAAACGAAAUAGAGAAGGGGUGUGCCAGCUGCGGAAGGAACCAUAAACCCUAAUUAAUCUGCAGAGGAUGGGCCUUUAUUUAUAGAUAUGUGGGUGAAUCGCGUAAUUGCAUAGACACCCUUCUACUCUGCUUAUAUUGCUAUUUAGUCAUGCUCUUUUUGCGAUUUCAUCUUUUUGAACAAAUUUAAAUUUAGCCCCAAUUACUCGCAAUACUCAGCUGCCCAAAGCGGUUGCCAUGGCCAAUGCCGCUUGUAUUUAAUUUUACAAUUUCAUCUCCUAUCGUGCCUCAUUCUGAAUGCCUUAGGUGAAUUUGUUAUGUUCAAUCAUUCGAUUUACUUUUUCUUCAGUAGAUUGACAGCUUUUAUGCUGAUGUUUAAUUCGAUAAGGAGUCAAUUUGAAAAGAUUAUGCCUUUCAUCUGUGUUUAGUGUAUAUUCUACAGUUUUCCCCUAAUAUAAAUGACUCAAAGGCUGCAUCAUCUUGGCAGCUCUGCUUCAGUCUGUUAUGACAUCAUUGGAUUUACAAUUGUGUAUCAUGCUAUGGGGGGUUGCCUACAUUUAUUCUCUGGUUUAAGUUGUAUCGUUUUUUGAAUACCGAUACAGCAUUUCCUGUCUAUGAGUAGUUGACUGCUGCUGCCAAAACAGUUUCAUUUCUCAUGCUUUGUUGCCAAAUCCACAGUUAUCAUAACUAGUUUAUUCUCAUCGUUUUAUGUAAUCAUAAUUUGAAAAUGGUAUCUACCUUUUACAUUUACUUAUACUUUAUAUUAGAUUCGAAUGUUGUUACCUAUGUGCAAAUAUGACACAAAUUCUCUUCUGGCCUUACUGGAAGUUUAGCCUGGAGCCUCAUCUAGUAUGCCCUUGUAAGUUAUUAGUUGUCAGAGUAGGAAAUUAAUGGAACAACCUUGACGAACCUCAAAUAAUUCUACCUUGUAUAUGGCAUUGAAGUAUAUCAUAAUUCCAAGAAGUAGUUUGUUUCUGUAUGAGAUACUUUAGAGGGUUAACUACUUUGGUACCUAUUUUCUCUUGGAAAUUUUAUUCGGCCAAGCUCAUGCUUUUAUGUAGGCUUUGAUAACACAAAACUAAAUAUUGUCCGAUAGGGUCUCAGAGAUAAAUGCUUACAGCAUGCUGUGAAUUUAUAAGUUGAGAGAGCAGGAGUAUCUUUGUCAGAUGUCUGAGGUCAUUGGCUUUUAAAUUAUUACAAUUACAAUUGAAGUUUUGAUUUAUGAUGGAAUAUCUUGUGAAGAUCCUUCAUUUCUAUGCAGAUUUAGCAAUUUUCUUGCACCGAUUAAUUUUACAUCAUGCUUUCGGUCAAAUAAGUUUCCUGAAAAGUUGUUAAAGGUUUAGCCGUUUAGAUGUGUUUGAAAAGCUAAAUGUCUCAAGAGCUGUAAUAGAUGCUUGCAAAUGUUGCAUAAGAUGACCUAUCUGGCCUUGGAAUUCCCUAUAUAUAGUUCUUAAGGUGAUGCUGAUGUGGGAUGACUGUGGUAGCAUUUUUGUCAUGCAUGGAGGUAAUUGGAUCUGAAUUCCAGCAUUUAUGGUUCCAACAGAGCUGCUAGCAAUCCUGUUAGCACCUUCUUGGCUUGCUUGAGAAAGUUGAGUAUGCCAUUGCAAAGCCUCUCGUUUCUCUAUUGACAGGGUCUCCAAGCUGGGGAUAUCUCCAUGGUCAUUGGAACUCAUUUUUUAAUAGCUGAAAAGGUGGAAUUUUCACUUUCGCGCAUGGCUGCUGUAGACGAGCAACAGUGCUUUGGUGUUGUUCAGAGAAGAUCCUUCAACACCAAGUUAGAUCAACUUGUUCUGAAUGACUCAGCAAAAAGUGAUGUCAGCCAGACCGAUACCAAGGUCGCUUGCUCUUCUAUUUGAAAUUAUUACAAGAUUUGAUCGCCCAUUGAGACAUAUAUUUAUGAGGAAACGAAGUUGGAUUUCAUAAGGUUUACCAGUGACUUGCUCGGUAAGAAACAGCCCGGCCAUCUUCGUCGUUACGAGGUUGGAGAUAGCUGCAUUGUAUUGUUUGUUGGGGGUAGCAGAAAGUUGUAAUGAUUCCCAGAACUGAAAGUAUGAACAAGGUACUGUUUGAAGGUGGUCUCUCUCAUGAGUCAUGACUCACCUCAUCUGAUGUGUGCAUAAUCAAGGGAGAGCAGAGCAGAGCAGAAGGAGGAGCAAGGUGUUGAAGUGGGGCCCAACUGUUGUCCACUGAUACUGCAGUGUUGGCUGCCGACUACAAGACCAAUAUGUGGGGCCCUUCGUCUCCCUAAUUUUAUGGGACUUUGGCCCAGCAAAAUCAUUAGUACUAGUACAUAUUAGGUGCGCCUAAAUACCAUCCUAUUUUCAACUUUUUUUUAAGUUUUUAAAUAAUCAAUAAAUUGCCAUUAUACAUAAACGUAGAAACUAGUGCUACUUAUUUUGUACUAUGAAGUGACUGGCAUCGAAUUAAUAAUGGUAUUGAAAUUAUUGUUGUGCGUGCA